rnacentral:rRNA from 1 species
UACAGAGGGUGCGAGCGUUGUUCGGAAUUACUGGGCGUAAAGGCUCGUAGGCGGCCAACUAAGUCAUACGUGAAAUCCCUCAGCUUAACUGGGGAACUGCGUGUGAUACUGGAUGGCUUGGAUUUGGGAGAGGGAUGCGGAAUUCCAGGUGUAGCGGUGAAAUGCGUAGAUAUCUGGAGGAACACCGGUGGCGAAGGCGGCAUCCUGGACCAAUAUUGACGCUGAGGAGCGAAAGCCAGGGGAGCAAAGCGGG